rnacentral:rRNA from 1 species
UACAGAGGGUGCGAGCGUUAAUCGGAAUUACUGGGCGUAAAGCGCACGUAGUCGGCUUUGCAAGUCGGUUGUGAAAUCCCCGGGCUCAACCUGGGAACUGCAUCCGAGACUGCAUUGCUAGAGUAUGGGAGAGGAAAGCGGAAUUUCUGGUGUAGCAGUGAAAUGCGUAGAUAUCAGAAGGAACAUCAGUGGCGAAGGCGGCUUUCUGGACCAAUACUGACGAUCAGGUGCGAAAGCGUGGGGGAGCAAACAGG